rnacentral:lncRNA from 1 species
GCGGGGCGCUGGGGUGGGACGCUGGGGGCAGGCGCGCAGCCCACCGCCUCCCUGAGAGGCCGCUGAGGACAGCGGGGAGCUGAGGGUGGUCCCCUGGUGGGGGAUCAGGAGGUGGACCUCGCCACCUGGCUGCCUGUGGCCCUCUCCUUUGCCCCAACCCUGACUGCCUCUCAGGAACAACCACAGGUCAGCAAGGUGGCUGAAUAUUGAGGGUCAGUCCCGCUGUGGCUACGGGCAGAGGGCAGGCUGUGUCCAUGCUCAGCCCUGACUCUGGCCCUCUGGGACACCUUGGUGGGUCUGAGACGUUGCUGCAGGCCGUGGGGCAGAAGCCAGGAGGAGUGUCCACGCAGCCUCAGCCCGUGGGAAUCCAGCCUGCCUCCAUUACUGCCGUCACCGGCUCCACCUUCGGAGAACAUCUCAGCAUCCAGCCUCCUUCCUCUGCCUCCUCUCAGGCCUCUGCCGUUCCCAUGCAGGGCAGGCCAAACUGUUUUCACAGCAUGGAAAGUUAUGUGAGGGAAGCCACACCGGCCGCAGAUACAGGCACCAGCACAUCCACUCGCAUGCACACUCACGGCUGUGGCCCGCGGCAGAUGGAGGCCCGCUCUGCCUUGUCUGUCCCUCAGUAGUGUGCGAUGACAGCACACCUGUGGGGGCCCUGCAGCUGGGAAGACUGCAGCGAGGCUCAACUCAGAGGCCCCUGCUCAGGAGCAUGGCUGAGUCACACCCCAGGGAGAAGGUGCCCCGGACAGGUGUGGCCAGCACGUCUUGCCAAGACCCCACCACCCCACCCACCCGCAUCUGUGGCCUUCUGGAACCGAGCUGUGGCCUGGGGUUCCAUGGAGCAGGUGGGGCGCGGAGGAACUGAGCUGUGGCCUGGGGUUCCGUGGAGCAGGUUGAGUAUGGAGGAACUGGGGUUCCGUGGAGCAGGUGGGGCGCAGAGGAACCGAGCUGUGGAAUGGGGUUCCGUGGAGCAGAAGUCCAACACCUCCGAGAGGACUCAAAACACAGAGUGACCAGCUCCUAUGUGCAUUUCCUGGACAAACCUUUUUUUUUUUUUUUUUUUUGAGACGGAGUCUCGCUCUGUCGCCCAG